rnacentral:rRNA from 1 species
CCUGGCUCAGAUUGAACGCUGGCGGCAUGCUUUACACAUGCAAGUCGAACGGCAGCGCGGGGCAACCUGGCGGCGAGUGGCGAACGGGUGAGUAAUAUAUCGGAACGUACCCAGGAGUGGGGGAUAACGUAGCGAAAGUUACGCUAAUACCGCAUACGAUCUACGGAUGAAAGCAGGGGACCGCAAGGCCUUGUGCUCGUGGAGCGGCCGAUAUCUGAUUAGCUAGUUGGUGAGGUAAAGGCUCACCAAGGCGACGAUCAGUAGCUGGUCUGAGAGGACGACCAGCCACACUGGAACUGAGACACGGUCCAGACUCCUACGGGAGGCAGCAGUGGGGAAUUUUGGACAAUGGGCGAAAGCCUGAUCCAGCAAUGCCGCGUGAGUGAAGAAGGCCUUCGGGUUGUAAAGCUCUUUUGUCAGGGAAGAAACGGCUGUGGCUAAUAUCCACGGCUAAUGACGGUACCUGAAGAAUAAGCACCGGCUAACUACGUGCCAGCAGCCGCGGUAAUACGUAGGGUGCAAGCGUUAAUCGGAAUUACUGGGCGUAAAGCGUGCGCAGGCGGUUUUGUAAGUCUGACGUGAAAUCCCCCGGGCUCAACCUGGGAAUUGCGUUGGAGACUGCAAGGCUAGAAUCUGGCAGAGGGGGGGUAGAAUUCCACGUGUAGCAGUGAAAUGCGUAGAGAUGUGGAGGGAACACCGAUGGGCGAAAGGCAGCCCCCCUGGGUCAAGAUUGACGCCUCAUGCACGAAAGCGUGGGGGGAGCAAACAGGGAUUAGAUACCCCUG